rnacentral:rRNA from 1 species
GAUGAACGCUGGCGGCGUGCCUAAUACAUGCAAGUCGAGCGAACAGACGAGGAGCUUGCUCCUCUGACGUUAGCGGCGGACGGGUGAGUAACACGUGGAUAACCUACCUAUAAGACUGGGAUAACUUCGGGAAACCGGAGCUAAUACCGGAUAAUAUAUUGAACCGCAUGGUUCAAUAGUGAAAGACGGUUUUGCUGUCUCUUAUAGAUGGAUCCGCGCCGCAUUAGCUAGUUGGUAAGGUAACGGCCUACCAAGGCAACGAUGCGUAGCCGACCUGAGAGGGUGAUCGGCCACACUGGAACUGAGACACGGUCCAGACUCCUACGGGAGGCAGCAGUAGGGAAUCUUCCGCAAUGGGCGAAAGCCUGACGGAGCAACGCCGCGUGAGUGAUGAAGGUCUUCGGAUCGUAAAACCCUGUUAUUAGGGAAGAACAAAUGUGUAAGUAACUAUGCACGUCUUGACGGUACCUAAUCAGAAAGCCACGGCUAACUACGUG